CCGCCCCACGGUGAUCUAAAAAAGCCUCAAAUGUGAGAAAAGGAUUCGCAGCACAAGUAGAAGAUAUAAAAAUUCUUCAAUAUCCUGGUCAAACCUACAAAAUAAAGACAUGCAAUGUUACAAUUCACCAAGUGAAAGAAUAAACUAGUAAAAUGUCAAGUUUUGAGGGCGGCGGCAGCGGGCGGUAGAGGCCGCGGCAUGAGCAGGGAACGGCGGCGGGCUGCAGCUGGCGGAGGUAGAGGACGGCGACGUCAAAACGACGGUAUAAACGAUCAUUUUUAAUUGAUCGUUUAAAGAGGUAUAACAAUUCUUCAAUUUUUUGCAUGAAAUUAUAAUUUUAUUAUUUUAAGAACACUUAGGUCACUUUAAUUAUUAAAUUCAAAUAUUAGAACGAUGUUGUAUAGCAAUCUCCGUAAAAAACAACUCAAACAACAAAUUUUAACAACAUAAAAACUAAAGAUAACACAUACUCUAAAAUAAAAAAUGAGAAAAAUAAAAGAACAUAAGAAUGAACUUGUCGUUGGUAGCCAAAGCCGCCUACAUCUAUAGAUCUAACAAUUUAAGAAAUGAAAUCGGACCUGUAAGAUCAAACGAAGGAGAUUGGCAAUUUGCCAUAACGCACCCACCUUCGUCUUUCUUGGAUUUCGCAUCUUGGUUUUACAUCUCUAUCUGCCAUAUCCGCCAAACUCGCCUCCUUUAAUGUCGCAAAUCAACUUCUGGAAGUAGAUUGUCGAUCAUGUCGUCGUCAUUUUUGCUGUAGAAUCUUCCUGUCGAUCUGGAAGGAUCGAAUAACCAACCGGAAUAAAGAGAAGGGAUGAGUGAAAGGUGAGCAGCGCCAUCCAAAAAGAAUAUUCUCCGGGGAGACGAGAGAAAGAAUGAGAGAGAAGAUGAGGAGACAGGAUGAACAGAUUUCAAU
rnacentral:lncRNA from 1 species